rnacentral:rRNA from 1 species
GAUGAACGCUGGCGGCGUGCUUAAUACAUGCAAGUCGAGCGAACAGACGCGGAGCUUGCUCCUCUGACGUUUGAGGCGGACGGGUGAGUAAAACGCGGAUAAAAUAUCUAUACGACUGCGAUAAAUUCGGGAAAACGGAGGUCUUACAGGAUAAUUUCUGGAACUGCCUGGUUCCAUAGUGAAAGAAGGUUUUGCUGUGACUUAUAGAUGGCUCCGUGGCGAUUUAGCUAGUUGGUAAGGUAUUGGCUUACCAAGGCAACGCUGCGUAGCCGCCCUGAUAGGAUGAUCGGCCACACUGGAGCGGAUGCACGGUCCAGACGCCUACGAGAGGCAGCAGUAGGGAAUCUUACGCAAUGGGCGGAAGCCGGACGGAGCAACGCCGCGGGGGGGAUGAUGGACUUCGGAGCGUAGAAAACUGUUAUUGGGAGAGAAGAAAGGUGUAAGUAACUAUGCACGUGUUGACGGUAGCUAGUCAGAAAGCCACGGCUAACUACGUG